GUAAUGAGCCAUCUAAUCAGGACCGACCACCUCCUCAAAUCUCAGGGAGAUUGAAGAAAUUGGAUUUGAGAACUUACAUGCGUCGGAAUAAGACAUACAGCCAUUGGGCUUGAUAAACUUGAUCAACCAGCAUCCUUGGAAUCAAUUCUUGAAGAAUGUGGUGAGUUUCCAUUACUUCCCGCUGAUCCUAAUUCUAUUUUUGAGCUUAAUU
rnacentral:misc_RNA from 1 species